GAUCAUGGCUCAGGAUGAACGCUAGCUACAGGCUUAACACAUGCAAGUCGAAGGGCAGCAUGAACUUAGCUUGCUAAGUUUGAUGGCGACCGGCGCACGGGUGAGUAACACGUAUCCAACCUUCCGUUUACUCAGGGAUAGCAUUUCGAAAGAAAGAUUAAUACCUGAUAGUAUGGUGAGAUUGCAUGAUAACACCAUUAAAGAUUUAUUGGUAAACGAUGGGGAUGCGUU
rnacentral:rRNA from 1 species